GGCGAGGCCGAAAGGCGUAGUUGAUGGGAAACAGGUUAAUAUUCCUGUACCUCUUGUAACUGCGAUGGGGGGACGGAGAAGGGUAGGUCAUCCGGGUGUUGGACGUCCCGGUUUAAGCGUGUAGGCGGGGAAGGUAGGCAAAUCCGCAUUCCUGUAUAACGCCAAGGCGUGAUGACGAGAGCUUCAAGCUCACAAAGUGAUUGAUCCCAUGCUUCCAAGAAAAGCCUCUAAGCUUCAGGUUACAUGAGACCGUACCGCAAACCAACUCAGGUGGGCAGGUAGAGAAUACUAAGGCGAUUGAGAGAACUCUGGUUAAGGAACUCGGCAAAAUGACACCGUAACUUCGGGAGAAGGUGUGCCCUCAUUAGGUGUAGCGAUACGCACGCGAAGCCGAAGAGGGUCGCAGAGAAAUGGCGGUAGCGACUGUUUACUAAAAACACAGCACUCUGCAAACUCGUAAGAGGAAGUAUAGGGUGUGACGCCUGCCCGGUGCCGGAAGGUUAAGGGGAUUUGUCAGCGCAAGCGAAGCUUUGAACCGAAGCCCCGGUAAACGGCGGCCGUAACUAUAACGGUCCUAAGGUAGCGAAAUUCCUUGUCGGGUAAGUUCCGACCUGCACGAAUGGCGUAACGACUUCCCCACUGUCUCGAGGAGGAUCUCAGCGAAACUGGAGUCUCGGUGCAGAUACCGAGUUCCCGCGGCUAGACGGAAAGACCCCGGAACCUUUACUGCAACUUGGCAGUGAACCUCGGUCGGGUUUGUGUAGGAUAGGUGGGAGGCGUUGAAGCGAGGGCGCUAGUCUUCGUGGAGCCAACCUUGAAAUACCACCCUGAUUCGAUUGAUGUUCUAACCCACACCAGUAAGCCUGGUGGGGAACACUGCCUGGUGGGUAGUUUGACUGGGGCGGUCGCCUCCCAAAAUGUAACGGAGGUGUGCAAAGGUCCCCUCAGCCUGAUUGGAAACCAGGCGUCGAGUGCAAACGCAUAAGGGGGCUUGACUGCAAGACUGACAAGUCGAGCAGAUACGAAAGUAGGCGUUAGUGAUCCGGUGGUCCCGCAUGGAAGGGCCAUCGCUCAUCGGCUAAAAGGUACUCUGGGGAUAACAGGCUGAUCACGCCCAAGAGUUCACAUCGACGGCGUGGUUUGGCACCUCGAUGUCGGCCCAUCGCAUCCUGGGGCUGGAGUAGGUCCCAAGGGUCCGGCUGUUCGCCGGUUAAAGCGGUACGCGAGCUGGGUUCAG
rnacentral:rRNA from 1 species